UCUUUUAAAGUAAAAAAUUACAUUUAAUUUCGACUUAAAAUAUGAUUAAUAUAAAUUAAUCUGAAAGAU
rnacentral:tRNA from 1 species